GAUGAACGCUAGCGGCAGGCCUAAUACAUGCAAGUCGAGGGACAGCACAGGUAGCAAUACUGGGUGGUAACCGGCAAACGGGUGCGGAACACGUACACAACCUUCCUUUAAGUGGGGGAUAGCCCAGAGAAAUUUGGAUUAAUACCCCGUAAUAUAGUUGAAUGGCAUCAUUUGAUUAUUAUAGCUACGGCGCUUAAUGAUGGGUGUGCGGCUGAUUAGAUAGUUGGCGGGGUAACGGCCCACCAAGUCUACGAUCAGUAGCUGAUGUGAGAGCAUGAUCAGCCACACGGGCACUGAGACACGGGCCAGACUCCUACGGGAGGCAGAAGUAAGGAAUAUUGGUCAAUGGACGCAAGUCUGAACCAGCCAUGCCGCGUGAAGGAUUAAGGUCCUCUGGAUUGUAAACUUCUUUUAUUUGGGACGAAAAAGGGCCUUUCUAGGUCAACUGACGGUACCAGAUGAAUAAGCACCGGCUAACUCCGUGCCAGCCGCCGCCGUAAAAC
rnacentral:rRNA from 1 species